AUGCUAGUGAAAAACAAUCACCUUUCAGACAAGAUCAUUGUUUUGCCAGGAAAAACUGAAGACGUCUCACUUCCUGAGGCUGUAGAUGUGAUCAUUUCCGAACCAAUGGGAUACAUGCUGUUCAAUGAACGGAUGCUAGAGAGUUAUCUUCAUUCCAAAAAAUGGCUAAAAUCAAAUGGAAUGAUGUUCCCGACAUUCAGCGACAUCCACUUGGCCCCUUUUUCUGAUGAACAGCUCUACGUGGAACACUUCUCCAGAGCCAAUUUUUG
rnacentral:circRNA from 1 species